GAAGUGGAUGACACAGCCGCACGACAUGACGUAUAUUUUUCCAAUAGAAACCGGAAGUCAGAAAGUCAGUUUUAAAAAGCAGAAACUUAAACACUAUCUAUAAUGAUAAUAUGCUAAGAUGUUAUAGGUUGGUUCCGCUGGUGGGAGUGAAGACCAGUGAGGACUUGAGGUUGAGGCAGCAGGCUGAUUUCCCAUACGAGCUAAUUAAUGCAUUGUUAAGUACCUAGCUAAAUAUUCUUUAGAUCUUGUACUAAGUAUUUUUAAUAUCUGUAUAGUAGUAAUUAUAAUAAAAAACAAAAGUUCAAAUGUAAUUAGGCAGUAGGUCUGCCUAAUUACAUUUGAACUUUUGUUUAUUUUUUUUUAAAUUGAUUUUAAAUUCCUAGAUAUAAAUCUAGUUAAGGCUACCACUAAUUCUGCAACAGAAGAUGCUAAUCAGAAUGAAAAAGUAUAUUUUCUAUAUAGUUUAGCUGAACUAGUAUGACUCUUCUUCAGGUGUUCCAGAUCUUAGAUUUUUAUACAUCUACAGAAAAUGCUCAUCAGACUGACCAACUUUUGUUAAGGCGCUUUUGUCAUAUCUGUUAUAGUGUAGCUGGUGGCUGUUGGAGUUCAUCAUCAGGUGUUCCAUAUCCUCGAUUUUUAUACGUCAUCAGAAAAUGCUCAUCAGACUGACCAACUUUUGUUAAGGCGCUUUUGUCAUAUCUGUUAUAGUAUAGCUGGUGGCUGUUGGAGUUCAUCAUCAGGUGUACGUCAUCAGAAAAUGCUCAUCAGGGCGAACAAUUUUUGUUAAGAUAAGAUCGAGUUUAUUGUGCAUUCGUUUCGAAGCGAACAACCAGAAAGAAAACUGUCCUUGAAAAAUUAACUUAGGGAAAAGUGCCCGUUAUUAAAAUCAAAUGAAUAAAUGCUUUUUAAUGUAUUUUUUUAAAUUCAAUGCAAUAUAUAUAUUAACCCUGUUUUCUAUAUAUUUUCCUUUCAUCAGCACUUGAUCACAAUCAUAAUAUGUUUCAGUAUACCUUUUGACCAUGUACUUUAUUGUGUAGGUACUUACAUGUUAUAUUACUGAUAAAAAAUUAUACAUAAAUUUAUAUUUAAAAAAUGGCAAGCCCUUCUGGCAUAAUAGGGACCAACACUGUUUGAAUGAGUUUCUUUCGGCAUUUCUUCUCAGCCGUGGUCGUUCCGAAAUGCUAGUAGUUUGUAGCUUUGGUAAACAUCAUUUAAUUUAGAAUAUGACGUGAAAAAAUGCCUGUGAAGGCCUA